rnacentral:lncRNA from 1 species
GCAGAUGCAUCAGGACUGCUCUGUUCUCCUUCACAAAUUCGCAAUCAAAUUCGAUGAUUGCGCUACUUUUGUCAAGAGUCUUGUUUCAGGCUUCCCCUACCUCACUCGCUGUGCCAACAAAACCAGGCAUGUCGAUUGAUUCUUCACUGCAGGUAAAAGGUAAGAAGCAUGAAGAAAUUUUGACAUGGGUUAAAAUUCUUUGCACCAUCAAUUUUUGUUUUUUAUUUUUUUGUUUUGGUUUUGAAAUUAAGAUAUAAUGAUAAUAAUAAUAAUAAUAAUAAUAAUAAAGAAACAGGGAAUUUUGAUUUAGGCUAUUCUUGUUAAUCUUUGAUGGGCAAGAAUGGUGAGAGAGGGCCCUUGUUAAAACAGAAAAUGGUUGAUAGGCGAGACUUACGUUUCAUUUCAAUGUAAUUCGCUUUACAUUUCCUCUGAUUACUUUUUGGGUUUCCAUUGAUUUGAGUAUUUCUCUGCACUGCACAUAAAGUGUAGGCUAUGAAUAAUAUGAUGGAUCAGCAAUGGUUUGAUUGGUUGCUUUUAAGUUGUGAUACUUGUCUUGGUUACUGUCAUUCAAAUGUUUUCAUUUCACAAUCUCCUUAAUUCGAGUUCUAGCACUUCAACUUCCAAUCAUUCGCACUUCAAACCUAUUAAAUCAAAUACAUUAAUUAAAUAAACUCUAGAUAAAAAGUUCUAAAAAACCAAUAUGAGAUUAGAUGAAACCCAACUUCAGUACAGAGGAAUCAAGUCAUGGUGGCAUAGGUAGAUUAUUGUAAAAUUGCCUCUGACCAAUCCUGAAAUUUAAAUAAAACUUGGACCCUUUUUUAUUUUGAUAUUGAAGAAAGGACCAUCCCUGUACAAAUCAC